UACGGGGGGGGCAAGCGUUGUUCGGAAUUACUGGGCGUAAAGGGCUCGUAGGCGGCCAACUAAGUCAGACGUGAAAUCCCUCGGCUUAACCGGGGAACUGCAUCUGAUACUGGAUGGCUUGAGUUCGGGAGAGGGAUGUGGAAUUCCAGGUGUAGCGGUGAAAUGCGUAGAUAUCUGGAGGAACACCGGUGGCGAAGGCGCGAUCCUGGACCGACACUGACGCUGAGGAGCGAAAGCCAGGGGAGCAAACGGG
rnacentral:rRNA from 1 species